CUCCAUCACUCUGAGAUCACUUCCAGGGCAGUGACAUCAUCCUCCAUCACUCUGAGGUCACGUCCAGGGCAGUGACAUCAUCCUCCAUCUCUCUGUUUUGGCUGCAGCAGGGCGGUGACAUCCUCCAUCUCUCUGUUUUGGCUGCAGCAGGGCAGUGACAUCCUCCAUCUCUCUGUUUUGGCUGCAGCAGGGCAGGUGACAUCCUCCAUCUCUCUGUUUUGGCUGCAGCAGGGCAGUGACAUCA